ensembl:lncRNA
UAGGGCUUCAUUACAUUUUCAUCGAUAGCCUGGUUUGAAUAAGAAAAUAUUUAAUCACCUUGAUUAGGGACUAUGAUGGGAUGUGGCAUGAGAGAAGGGAUGGGAAGAGAGAGAAGAUGAGUCAGCCCUUGAAGAGCAUUAGGGAUCAGGUUUGCAGAGUCAACCUGUGGGUGAUGGAAAAUGAAGCUCUCAGAGGUUUUAUGUUACCCACCUAAGUCACAUGGCUAGAGACCCCUCCAGCCCCACUGAUAUGGGAUGUAGACAGAGGCAUUGGCCAAAGCCUGGAGAGACGCACACCCAGAGUCAGAGGGGAAAGAAGCAGAGUGAAGAACCUUUCUGAGAAGCCUGCUCAUCUGUAUGCUCCGAGAGCAGUGGAAGCCACAGCACAGGAAGCUUCAUUGGGAAGGGCCUUGUGAAUCAGUCCAGGCUCAUGGGCACAACUGUGAGCCUCGCUUAACCCAGGGCCCCCAUCCCAUUCCCUACUGUCCUUGCUUCUGUCCUGCUUGUGCAUGUGUGUCUGGAUGUGUGUGUGGUGUGCAUGCCCACACUGAAGAGGCAGAAGAGAUGAAGGUCCCUCUGCCCAUACCCAUUGGGAACUUAGCCCUGGGACUCUCUGCUCCCUCUCCCCUGAAGCUGCUUUGGAGUCCUCUCCCCCAGAUUGUUGGCAAAGCUGCUGAGCUUCUGAUUCAGUGACAUUUUACAGGAUCACUGUGUUCUCUCUUCAGAGCCAUUUGAGAUAGAACUGGGAACAGGAGGCCCACUGUCUCAGAGGAUUGCAUCAAGAACUGUGCCCCCGAGCAGCUGAAGACUGCAGGGUCUUGGAGCUGCAGGGACAGGAGGGAAGGAGCCAAUACUCCACCAGGCAUCCACUCUUUUCACAUACUAUCUUUUCAUGAAUCUCUGCAGUCGUGAUAGAAAGUACCCCCAAAAUGUCUCCAUCUGAAAGUAGAGGAAACUGAGGCUGAGAGGCAUAAAAGUGACUGGCCUAACACAUCAGUGAAUAAAUGGCCUGAAAGAUCUUUAACACUAGUCUGCUCUAAUUCUGCAUGAUGACUCUUCCUUUAUGUCAUGCAGUCAAGCCUUGCCACCAGCCAGAAUUUCUGAGAUGCAUCACUGGUUUAUAAAGCGGUGUCAAAUGGUAUGAGCAUGGAGGGGAUGACAUGUGUGCAGUGGGUCACAGCACUUCUCUUUCUUCAGACUCGAAGUCCAAGUUUUGUCAGAAAAUUCUCAUGGAAAGACAGACAGAUACCAGGCUGACCUAGCAUCCACUCAUUCUCUCCCUCUCUCUCUCUCUCUCUCUCUCUCUCUCUCUCUCUCUCUCUCUCAGUUUGGAAAAAGGAUUUGUAGGUCAUUUAGUCCAAAUUUCUAAUUCCUGAAUUAAAGUUGCAGUAUCUAAAGUAAAUAGCUUUCUAGCCUGUGCUUGGAGAUUUAUAGACUGUAAGGACUUUUACAAAGGGAGAAAUUAUUACCAGAGAUAAUGAAAUGAGGUGUGACCCUGACAAUGCAUAGGCUCACAGUGUAGGCAUCUGGAACUCUGUAGUGGCCGUGGUCAGCAUGGACAUGGUGCGGUGUUGGUAACAGUAAUGACAGUAGUAGUAGCAGUGAUGAUGGUUGUGCUGGAGGUCAGGGUGGUGAUGGAAAUGACUGUGACAGCAGUAAUGGGGUGGUGUGAGUCUUGAUGGUAGUAGCACCAGAGGUGGUAGAAGUUGGAGUGAUCCUGGAAGGAAAGCCCCAAGCAGAGGGUAAGUUCUUCCUGGGACAUCAACUAGUUGCCCAUACUGCCUGUAUUAAUCAUGCUUCUCUAGAGGAACAGAACCAAUAGAAAAUAUAUGCAUCAUGAUGCAAAGGGGUUAUUAGGUAGCUUACAGGGUCAGAGGUGGAGAAUCCACUGUGGCCAUCUCUGCACGCUGGAGAGCCAGGGCAUCCGGGAGCUGCUCAGCCCAUGAAGAUGGAGGCUGCAGAACAACAGGGAUCAAGGAUGAGGUGCAGUCCAAGCUCAGAGGCCCGGAAAGUCACUGGAGGGUUGCUGGUGCUAAUCUACAUCAGAAGGCUAAGGAAGAAACUGGAGACUUGGAGGCUGAUGUGCAAAGGAUUGGCCCUUCCAGGAAGACUGGGCCUCUUCAGAACUGGGACACUUCUUUAUUCUUUCCCUGCAAGCCUAUUGGUAGGUAGCGCCUACAUAGGAGGUGGGUCUCCCCUACCCAGUUUGCUGGCCUACAUGUCAAUCACCUUCAGAAACAGCCAGACCUGCACUUUACUAAUCUGGUAAGUGCUUCUUAAUUCAUUCAAAUAGACACAGUAUGAUUAAUAGUCACGCUGUCCCAGGGUAGCUCAUCCCUGUGAGGAGAAUGGAUAACUCCAUAGCAUUCUCCUGGCCUGUCCAGGUCAGGGAGCUGCUAGGCUGAAAUCUUGCCUGACACAGCCAAUGUCCUCCAUUCCAAGGUGGCCGGAACCCAGGGCCCUGAGGCCUGGCAGACUUUUCUAAGCUUUUGUAGAAAUGUUUAUGAUGGAAACAUAUUCAGGUCCACAGGCUGGGACAAGCCUACACACACACACACACACACACUCACACACACACACGCACAGAGUUUCUGCAGAAGCUGGUGGAGAGAGGAUGAGUGUGGCUAAGUGUGUGCCACAUGUCCAUCUCCGCCAUUCUGAUCCAGGUGGUUGCGCAAUGCUGGCAGCUUUGUCACUGACUCAGUCACUGAGACACCAGCAGCGAAAGCAACCAGUAUGCUGUUUGCCUCUCUGGAAUGCAAGCAUGCCAAAUGAAGAGUCACACAAUAUGGCCUCCUUGCAGCAAUGGAUGGCCUGCCCCCAGCUGGUGCCAGGUUUGCUUUCUGUUUAGUUCCAGUGCCCUCUCACUUGUCAGGAAUGACAUUUGGGAGACUUGACGGAGGAAACUCCAUUCUGUGAUAGAUAGGAACUGGUGACCCUGUGGCUAUGGGCAACGCUGGCUUAGUGUAGGCAUAGCCCAGAAUGACUCCUGCUAUUUACCAUACAAGAAAUCAAUGUAAAACAAUGACCCUUCCCCACAAGAGCAUAUGUGUUUCAUACUCCAAGCACCCCUCGAUCUGUCACCCCAAAUACGUUCAGCAGUAUUACCCAAAUCAUGGACUCACUAAAGUGCCUGCCUUCAAUAGGGUCCCUUAUUUCCUCCUGUACAGGAGUAAUAAUUUCAAGGGCAAGAAGAGAAAGUGCAUAUGAUGUCCUUCCUCUGUUGGUGCCUGGCCUGGGGAGAUUCUUAGAAAAUGUGUGCUCAAUGAAGGACAUGAUGACCGGGUGAUGUAGAUGUGGAAGCAUUUCUGUUUUUGCAAGGUCACAUUAACUUCUGUGCAGGGAAAGAGUCAGCUCGAAAGCUUUGAUGGCCUCUGGGAACAGAGAGCUCUACCCAGACCACACAUGGAAAGCUUCCAAAGGUGAAGGCCACGAGGACAGUCGCAGUGUCCUUGGCUGCAUAAAUGUGCACGACAACUGCAUGUGUUGGUACCUGGCAGUUCUUCGGAGACUAACUGUAAGGUCUUCUUUUAUAGCCUGGUUGCCUUUAUGAAGACAAGGGUCUGCCAGUGGCAGUGACAACCCUUGGAAUUUCUGGACAGUGAUUCAGAGAUUAGUCAUAUAUAGCACCCAGUCAUUUGUAGGUACAAAGCUUAGGCUCAGUGUGUACUUGCCAACAAUGUCCCUGUCACCCUGCUUGGCACCCAGCCCAUAUAUAACGAGAGGCUCUCAAAUUCCAACCGACUAUGGAAGCAGAGCCAGUGUUAAGGAAAUCGCCAUUUUACUUGUUAAAAUAAUACCCGGAUUCUGUAGCAGAUUCUUUCUAACAGAUUUUAUUCAGGCAUCCACCCAUUGCCAAGUUGGGGCAUUCUGCUGGCAUCUGUUGUGGAUCUAGGUGUGGG